UUUCUAACCAGCUAACUUAUGUCCAUGUUUUUAUCAUCCUAUGAAAACAUGGUCAUACGGGGUCCGGACAGAAGGUGGAUCCGCAGAGUGGACUAGCUGGCAACAAAGACAGGAUCCACGCUGCAAGAUGCAGCAGUCACAGGAGCUACUGACUGGACUGAAUGAAACACACGCCUGGCUGGAUGAACACACAUGCAUGUUCCAAGAUGGUGAAUGGGGGAGAAACACGAGACUUCCAGGACAUGAGAAACAGAUGCUCUACACUACUGUGGAUGGACACCUUUCCCAGGAAGGACAAGAACAAGAGGAGAGGAUGAGCUGAACAAUAACUGAUCUGUAGUGCUGAGAAAAGGAGAAACCAGAAAGGCAGGAAGGAGUUGUGACUUAUUCAAAUCUAUCCUUUUGUAUUUACACAAAGGCCAGAGUUAGUUAGACAUUGUGAAGCCUAUUGUAUUUUAUUGACACAUAACUUGAUCAUCCACAGGCUUGACGAACCUAUGUCUCGUGACCCAGCGUGGCUCUCAUUUUCAUUCCAUCUGUCACGCUACUGUAUGUCAUAUCUUAUUCGUGCAUACCAAUGUCCAUUUUAAUUAGUCAUUCUGGGUCAACGCAGACCUCUUCCUGCUCCGAGCAGCGGUGCGGCAGAUGUGUGAAUGAAAUUUGUGUGCUAUUAUUUGAGUGAAAAUAGGCCGUUAGAGCCAUUGUGACGAGACAACAGCCCCUGUAUGGUAAUAAAAUACAUACAUCAGGGUUAAAAAGAAAAGACAGUUGUAGAGAUGUAACAACAUGAAACACUUUAGUUGGUAUCUGUGUGCAAAAAAAUAAAUGGUUACGCCUCAAAAGGUUCAUCUUAAUUAAAUUCAACCCCAUUAUUUCUCCAAAAAAUCAAAUGAGGCUUUUCAGUGUAUUAGUGUUACAAUUAAUUAUCAUAAUUAGAAUUAUCAUAAUUGUGCCUGUGCAGGAAAACACAGUUAAGAAAAACAUCCUUUUUGCAUGUUAAUACACAUAUUUCUCUGCUGCAGCUGGUGACUAACAGUUCAACACUUUUCUGUAGCAUAUAAAACAAAUGAUAAAUCUGUGUAGGUGCAGCAGACCUCUGAUAAUCACACUCAGUUGCCAUUUUGUUUUCAUGUCACUGUUCAUCCUUAACUUAGUCAGUUUGAAUUCAUCAAAAAACUGAGAUGAGGGCGGCAAUUCAGAGACGUGGAGCAAGACUAAAAUGUGUACACUGUUUACAAUCACCCUCCAAGCUCUCUGUGUCAAAUGGAGGCUCACAACAAUCAGCUGUUGAAUCGCUAAAAAAUUGUUUACUGUAUGUUCAAGAGCGUGAAGCAGUGUUUGGCCUUGAGAAAAGUAGUAAAUUUGAGUUCAAAUCUUACAAAUAAGGGCAUUAUGAAAAGCCCAUUUAAGGCAAGGUCGGCGCUAUGGAGUCAGCACUGGGAGGGGACCAAAUCUGCUGGGAUGGGAUGUGUCCGCCCCCCUUAUAUAUAUUUUAAUUACUGCCUUGAUUAGAGGUGUUGUACAUAAUUGAUAUAAUGUUAUAAUUUUUGACAAUAUAGUCCUAUUUUACACCAGUGUAUACACAGUUUAUACAGUCAUACAUGUGUACAAUAAGCAGACAGAUAUGUUGUCUUGUCAUUAUUAUAUUAAAACCUGUCAAUCACUUCCACAUGUUUUGAUUUUUGGUGGUUGGACUUUUGCUCAUCUGGUAACAAGCCUUUAAGCUCUGUUUUUGCUUUUCAAAUGUUAUUAUUUACACAUCCUGUCAGUGUUUGGUUAUUUCAACUACAACCUGAGAGAAGCAACAGUUAAGCAUCUUCAACCAACCACACCUAACCCCACACUGCAGCCAUAGUCCUCUCCUGCAGCUGCCGUUUGGACCUUCAUCUUGUUAUCAUGUUAAUUAUUGUCCACCACAGCGAACUGCAAGGCUUUCUUAUUCCUCAAGAGGACUUUCACCCCAGCUUGGAGACAUGAUAAGCUUUUUAUAUUCAGUAGAUCUUGUAUUUCACCAAAGAGAUGAAGAUAUCUGUUGCUUCUAGACACAUGUGGGUCAUUUUUAGAAAUCAUUAUUCUUACAGAUCAACAACAAAUACUCACACAACUAUGUCAAACCGAUUAUCUUCCAUGUUUCCGGACCUCAUCAAUCAG